GAAUAUUGGACAAUGGGCGCAAGCCUGAUCCAGCAAUGCCGCGUGUGUGAAGAAGGCCUUCGGGUUGUAAAGCACUUUUGUCCGGGAAGAAAACCUUGGGAUUAAUACUUUCGAGGAAUGACGGUACCGGAAGAAUAAGCAACGGCUAACUUCGUUCCAGCAGCCGCGGUAAUACGAAGGGUGCAAGCGUUAAUCGGAAUUACUGGGCGUAAAGCGUGCGCAGGCGGUUUGUUAAGUCAGAUGUGAAAUCCCCGGGCUCAACCUGGGAAUGGCAUUUGAUACUGGCUGACUAGAGUGUGGUAGAGGGUGGCGGAAUUCCCGGUGUAGCGGUGAAAUGCGUAGAGAUCGGGAGGAACAUCCGUGGCGAAGGCGGCCACCUGGACCAACACUGACGCUGAGGCACGAAAGCGUGGGGAGCAAACAGG
rnacentral:rRNA from 1 species